CUCGUAGGCGGCAAUGUAAGUCGGAUGUGAAAUCCCUCGGCCUAACCGAGGAACUGCGUCCGAUACUGCGUAGCUUGGGUACCAAAGGGGUGCAUGGAAUUUCCGGUGGAGCGGUGAAAUGCGUUGAUAUCGGAAGGAACGUCGGCGGCGAAAGCGAUGCACUGGUUGGUUACCGACGCUGAGGAGCGAAAGCCAGGGGAGCAAACGGGAUUAGAUACCCCGGUAGUCCUGGCCGUAAACGAUGGGUACUAGGUAGGGGAUCUCAAACGUCUCUCUGCUGGAGUGAAUAUCUUAAGUGCCCCGCCUGGGAAGUACAAUCGCAAGGUUGAA
rnacentral:rRNA from 1 species